CUGGAGGUAGGUUGAAUUCUGGCCCAGUCCCGGUCGGCGGGGGCUUUGAUCGACAGAUCGAGGUCUGGCGGGUUCGAUUCCCGCCCUUCGGG
rnacentral:tRNA from 1 species